rnacentral:snoRNA from 1 species
UUAAAUGAUGACAACUAUAUCAAGUUGCUUGAACCAUAGAGACUUUCUUCUCUUCGUAUGUGAGCACACGAUUUCUCAAGACUACAACGGUAUCUGAUA